UCAGAGCUCAAACAGAGCAAUUCAUUUCCAGGUCAGUAACUCUUGGUAUUGGACCAAACUAGUGAGCACUGUCAAGCUGGCACUCAGACCAUCACCACAAGCUCUGUGCUUCAGACACAGAACUGGGAAAAUCUAUGGGCCAUGGGAAACGAGGUCAGGGAAGAAACAGGGGAAAAAACCAAAACACAAAAAUUUUUAUUCUUUUUUUUUUUUUUUGUAAAAAGUUAUGCAAGAACUUAAACAAAUCAUUAGUGGAACAGAAGCUUUAACCAUUAAAAUCUAAAACCCUAACUAAUGUAAGCUCUCGUACUAACCUGGGCAACAUCUGCGAUGCAAGGUAAUGGCAGUGAGUGGAAAAAGUUAUUUUACAAAUAUAUUACUUAGAAAGAAUUUCUCUUUUAGAGAAAAUGCAAGAGGAACAAUGCUGGACGUGGCAGGAAACCGGCCAACACUUCAAAUGAAAAUAGUCAAACCCGAUGUAUUUCCCUGCUAAAGCAGCACAGCCUCGGCCGCCUGGUUUCCUUCGCUCGCUCUAACCCUGCACAGCAAGUAGUGCCUGUGUGGGGGGACAGGAACCCUCACCGCUGCCUUUUCCAAGUGCUUUUCGUCGCCAAACGCAUUUCACGGACGUUUUCUUUCCAUUUCUCGUCACUUCCAAAGCCUCUGCACGCACAGAGCGGCUGCAAAGCUCUCAAGGACCGGGAAAUAAACGAGAUGAAAGCACGUCGGGUUAAAGAGCCUUGAAAAGAUUUCGCAACGGGAAGGAGGAAGACGCUGCGAAUCUCUGAAGUGCCGGCCCAGGGAAUAAAGGCACCGUCAUUCCUCUGGGAAGUUUUGGGGAGCCCUUCCCAACGAGGGGCACAAUUCCAGCUCUGGUGUUGGGCUGAUGGUGUCCUCAGGACUACAGAUCUUGUCUAUAAAACCACUGUGAAAGCCACCCCAAAGAGAUGUGUUCCCGUCUGUCUGUCUGUCUGUCUGCCUGUCUGUUAUACGUGGUCAAACUAUUUUAACAAAAGCUGGUCAACAGUGUUUGAACUGGAGAGAAGAAAGGAAGGAAAUGAUGUGUGGACAGGGAGAGUCAAUCAUCUGAAAGAUCAGUUCCAACAGAUUCAUGGAAAUUAACCUCUUUCAUCAUCAUCAGGCACCAGUGAUGCUCCUGUAGGCCCUUGGCUACACAAACAAGGACUGGGCAAACCAGGAAAAUUCAGGAGCAAAGUUAGUGGGGUGCACAUUAUUUUAGCACCCAAACUGAGUUCCAGGAGAAAAGCCAGUAUGGUCAAAUAAUGAUUUCUGUUUGUUUGCAUUUUUUGUUCAUGAUUAGUCCAUAGAGCUGUGAGUUGGCUGUACCAACAGUGCAUUUCCUGAGGGACAACUAGUCCCCAUCCUUCCAACACUGCCAUUACAGGAAAGAUGGUUCUGGCAAAAGUUAACAAUACUUGACAUAGAUGUUACAGAAUAGAUUUUUAAGUCAUUUGUGUUUUAUUUGCCUCAGUGAGCAGAUCUGCUACACAGAGGUGCUUUUCUGAGGUACUUCUCAUACACCAAGAAGUGAUUCAGUUUCUCUUUAGGGUCUUCAAUAGCCUGGUGAGUUGGGAGAUUAGGGUUUUGUGUCUCAUCACAGUGUUGUUUUCAUUAUAUUCCCACUGUUCAUUUUUUAAAGCUGUCUUCAAGAGCUGAUAAGGAACUACAGAGUUACUUUUAAAGCAUUUUUUCUAGUGGUUGAUGAUAAUGUAGCUUCACAGACCAGUCAGACCUACUAGUCUAAACUUUCUCCUGUCACAGGCCAGGGAGUUUCACUCAGUAUGUGCCAUAUGCAGAUCCUACUUUUUGGUGAAAGUAGGUAUUUUUAGUCUUAAAAAAGAAAAAAAAAUCUAUUAUUUACUUAAUGACUUCAAACAAGAAGCAGCCCAGAUUUCAGAGUCCAUUAUUAUCAGAUAUCUUAAUAUGUAAAUAUUUACAAACUACUGUCUAGUCACUGCUUCGCCUUUGUGUUACUCCACUAAAAAGAUUAGGCUUUCCACAAUUUUCACUGGGAGCGUUUUUUAUUUUCCAGUUUAGUCCUCCAGCUUGGCUUGCAGACGAGUAGUGCUUUGUGGGCAGUCAGAUGGCCAGAAGAGGAGUGAAUGAAGUAUUUAUAGAUCAAAACCAGAAAGAAGCACAUGUGAAGGCAAAACAACAUUUAAAUGCUUGGUGUGGGAAAACAGUAAUGUUACCUGGCACGUCCUGGCAAGACCAGGGAUUUCAAGCUGCUGUGUGGUGAAUGCUGCUGAGGGGGUUUUGCAGAGACCUCACACCACAGCAGUUCAGAGAUGAAAUACUCUUUGGGAUUCUGCACAGUAUAGGGAGAGACAGACAAAGAGAGAGAGAGAGAGGGAGACAAGCUUCCCAAAGUACCCAGUUGAGGUGCUGUGAGCUGGACCCUCUGGGACAAGCACAAGGUGAUGGUUUUGCAGCAGGGAAGGAUGGCAGGAGCUUCCCUGAGUCGCUGGUGCUCUGCUCUCAUCUUACACUGGAAGAGGACUCAAACACCUAUCAGGCUCGCACUUGACUGUCUUAUUUAUUUAUUUUUUUGCUGCCCAGACCAGCUUCCCCACUGAGUUUGCUGUUAGCUGGGCCAGUAUAGAGAAUACAGAGCAGGCCCAGGACUGCACCUAUGUCAGGCACAUCCUGCUGUUGCAGCUGCAGUGUGAGCUGGGUGAACCCUCACCCCUGCAGCUUCCUCGAGCCUCCGCACAGGAAGCACAACAAGGAUGUCACACCCUAAAACCAACCCUGUCCAACAGUCUCCUGACACCAACAUAAGUGCAACCUCUUCCAGGGAGGGACGACAGGUUGCUCCCACACCUCAGCAGCCUUGGGUGUACCUUGGUGGAUCCGGCUUCUCCUCCUACUGCAUGUGAGCUCGUUAGAAACACCUUGCUGCUGGGAAGCAGCAGUUCACAGUGGAGAGGUUUUACAGGCACAACUGUGACUCUGGAGCUACCCUGUCAUGUCCAGGUUGGAGUGGGGCUCACCCUCCCUGGCUCGCUCCGGUGCAACCCUGAGUUUCAAAAGGAAAUGGAGAAGCAACAGAAUUUUUAAGGGGCAGAGAAGUAAUUGAGUAAUUGCCUUCACAGUUGCAUGCUCAGCUUUCUACUGUUUGCACAAAUGAAUCACAAACAGGAAGAUUGAUACCACGAGAAACCUUGGGCUACCUCUCGAGGCAGAGAUAA